rnacentral:rRNA from 1 species
UGGUUGUCGUCAGCUCGUGUCGUGAGAUGUUGGGUUAAGUCCCGCAACGAGCGCAACCCUUAUUGCUAGUUACCAUCAUUAAGUUGGGGACUCUAGCGAGACUGCCAGUGAUAAACUGGAGGAAGGGUGGGGAUGACGUCAAAUCAUCAUGCCCCUUAUGACCUGGGCUACGAACGUGAUACAAUGGCUGAAACAAAGGGCAGCGAAGGAGCGAUCUGGAGCGAAACCCAAAAAAGCAGUCUCAGUUCGGAUUGAAGUCCGCAACUCGACUUCAUGAAGUCGGAAUCGCUAGUAAUCGCGGAUCAGAACGCCGCGGUGAAUACGUUCUCGGGGUUU